ACGCUUCUUUUUCACCGGAGCUUGCUCCACCGGAAAAAGAGGAGUGGCGAACGGGUGAGUAACACGUGGGUAACCUGCCCAUCAGAAGGGGAUAACACUUGGAAACAGGUGCUAAUACCGUAUAACAAUCAAAACCGCAUGGUUUUGAUUUGAAAGGCGCUUUCGGGUGUCGCUGAUGGAUGGACCCGCGGUGCAUUAGCUAGUUGGUGAGGUAACGGCUCACCAAGGCCACGAUGCAUAGCCGACCUGAGAGGGUGAUCGGCCACAUUGGGACUGAGACACGGCCCAAACUCCUACGGGAGGCAGCAGUAGGGAAUCUUCGGCAAUGGACGAAAGUCUGACCGAGCAACGCCGCGUGAGUGAAGAAGGUUUUCGGAUCGUAAAACUCUGUUGUUAGAGAAGAACAAGGAUGAGAGUAACUGUUCAUCCCUUGACGGUAUCUAACCAGAAAGCCACGGCUAACUACGUGCCAGCAGCCGCGGUAAUACGUAGGUGGCAAGCGUUGUCCGGAUUUAUUGGGCGUAAAGCGAGCGCAGGCGGUUUCUUAAGUCUGAUGUGAAAGCCCCCGGCUCAACCGGGGAGGGUCAUUGGAAACUGGGAGACUUGAGUGCAGAAGAGGAGAGUGGAAUUCCAUGUGUAGCGGUGAAAUGCGUAGAUAUAUGGAGGAACACCAGUGGCGAAGGCGGCUCUCUGGUCUGUAACUGACGCUGAGGCUCGAAAGCGUGNGGAGCAAACAGGAUUAGAUACCCUGGUAGUC
rnacentral:rRNA from 1 species